GCGCCCGUAGCUCAACUGGAUAGAGCACCGGCCUUCUAAGCCGGUGGUUGCAGGUUCGAUUCCUGCCGGGCGCG
rnacentral:tRNA from 1 species